rnacentral:lncRNA from 1 species
UUAGAACCUGCUGGCUUCACUUCCUGGAGGCUUUUUGUUGUGUCUUGAAACUAGGAUCUUUGCGGGUCAUCCCUGCUUUGAUCAAAAUCAACCAUUCCUUUCCAAAAUUCAGAAGCUUCCACAACAAGAACAUGAACUGGAUUAAUAGAAAUUUCUCAGAAAAAAAUAUUCAAACACCAAGGAUCUCACUUUGUGCUGUGAAAUGCAAGAUGAGCAAUCUGAUCUGGACAUACCAGCCUUCAGUCAGGCAACAGGUGAAUAUGCAGGUAGAAUUAUAAUGUGUAAAGCCGGGUGCAGUGGCUCACGUCUAUAAUCUGAGCACUUUGGGAGACUAA